rnacentral:rRNA from 1 species
UACGGGAGGCAGCAGUGGGGAAUAUUGCACAAUGGGCGAAAGCCUGAUGCAGCUAUGCCGCGUGUAUGAAGAAGGCCUUAGGGUUGUAAAGUACUUUCAUCGGGGAGGAAAAAACAAAACUAAUAAUUUUAUUUCUUGACGUUACCCGAAAAAGAAGCACCGGCUAACUCCGUGCCAGCAGCCGCGGUAAUACGGAGGGUGCUAGCGUUAAUCAGAAUUACUGGGCGUAAAGAGCACGUAGGUGGUUUUUUUAAAGUCAGAUGUGAAAUCCCUGGGCUUAACCUAGGAACUGCAUUUUGAAACUGAAAUACUAGAGUAUCGUAGAGGGAGGUAGAAUUCUAGGUGUAGCGGUGAAAUGCGUAGAUAUCUGGAGGAAUACCUGUGGCGAAAGCGGCCUCCUAAACGAAUACUGACAUUGAGGUGCGAAAGCGUGGGGAGCAAACAGGGAUUAGAUACC